rnacentral:rRNA from 1 species
GACGGGAGGGCAAGUGUUCUUCGGAAUGACUGGGCGUAAAGGGCACUUAGGCGGUGAAUCGGGUUGAAAGUGAAAGUCGCCAAAAAGUGGCGGAAUGCUCUCGAAACCAAUUCACUUGAGUGAGACAGAGGAGAGUGGAAUUUCGUGUGUAGGGGUGAAAUCCGUAGAUCUACGAAGGAACGCCAAAAGCGAAGGCAGCUCUCUGGGUCCCUACCGACGCUGGGGUGCGAAAGCAUGGGGAGCGAACAGG